rnacentral:rRNA from 1 species
CCUACGGGUGGCAGCAGUGAGGAAUAUUGGUCAAUGGGCGCGAGCCUGAACCAGCCAAGUCGCGUGAGGGAAGACGGUCCUAUGGAUUGUAGACCUCUUUUGUCGGGGCGCAAAAGACGCCCCGCGUGGCGUUCCGAGAGUACCCGAAGAAAAAGCAUCGGCUAACUCCGUGCCAGCAGCCGCGGUAAUACGGGGGAUGCGAGCGUUAUCCGGAUUUAUUGGGUAUAAAGGGUGGGUAGGUGGGCUGUUAAGUACGCGGUAAAGGCCCGGGGCUCAACCCCGGCGAGCCGUUGAAACUGGCUGUCUGGAGAUGUCGAGAGGUAUGCGGAAUGCGCAGUGUAGCGGUGAAAUGCUUAGAUAUUGCGCAGAACUCCGAUUGCGAAGGCAGCAUACCGGCGGCGAUCUGACGCUGAGGCACGAAAGCGUGGGUAUCGAACAGGAUUAGAUACCCCGGUAGUC